GACGAACGCUGGCGGCGUGCUUAACACAUGCAAGUCGAACGGAAAGGCCCUGCUUUUGUGGGGUGCUCGAGUGGCGAACGGGUUAGUAACACGUGAGUAACCUGCCCUUGACUUUGGGAUAACUUCAGGAAACUGGGGCUAAUACCGGAUCGGAGCUCCUGCUGCAUGGUGGGGGUUGGAAAGUUUCGGCGGUUGGGGAUGGACUCGCGGCUUAUCAGCUUGUUGGUGGGGUAGUGGCUUACCAAGGCUUUGACGGGUAGCCGGCCUGAGAGGGUGACCGGCCACAUUGGGACUGAGAUACGGCCCAGACUCCUACGGGAGGCAGCAGUGGGGAAUAUUGCACAAUGGGCGGAAGCCUGAUGCAGCAACGCCGCGUGCGGGAUGACGGCCUUCGGGUUGUAAACCGCUUUCGCCUGUGACGAAGCGUGAGUGACGGUAAUGGGUAAAGAAGCACCGGCUAACUACGUG
rnacentral:rRNA from 1 species